rnacentral:rRNA from 1 species
UAGGGAAUCUUCCGCAAUGGACGCAAGUCUGACGGAGCAACGCCGCGUGAGUGAAGAAGGAUUUCGGUUCGUAAAACUCUGUUGUUAGAGAAGAACAGCGCAUAGAGUAACUGUUAUGCGUGUGACGGUAUCUAACCAGAAAGCCACGGCUAACUACGUGCCAGCAGCCGCGGUAAUACGUAGGUGGCAAGCGUUGUCCGGAUUUAUUGGGCGUAAAGCGAGCGCAGGCGGUCAAUUAAGUCUGAUGUGAAAGCCCCCGGCUCAACCGGGGAGGGUCAUUGGAAACUGGUUGACUUGAGUGCAGAAAAGGAGAGUGGAAUUCCAUGUGUAGCGGUGAAAUGCGUAGAUAUAUGGAGGAACACCAGUGGCGAAGGCGACUCUCUGGUCUGUAACUGACGCUGAGGCUCGAAAGCGUGGGUAGCAAACAGG